CCAGUUGGCUCCCCGGGACUCGAGGCUCCCUGGAUGGUUCUGACGUGCAGCUGGGCCGAGCACCGCAGCUGCAGCCGCUGGAAGGAGCACCUAAUGCAGACAGGACGCCCUGAUUCCGCACUCAGGUCACGCCGAGGGCGCCCGGUGUGGGGGAGCCGCAGGGCGGCGCAAGGAUCCAACUCCCCUCAGAUGUCCAGCCAGCAGCCUCCAGACCAGCCCUCACUCCAAGAAGUGAUGCAACGAUGGGGAAAUGCCAGGCCGGUUUUCUGGAAGGCUCUGUUCCUCCCCCUCCAUUACCCAAGCUCAGAUCACAUGACUGCCAGCAGAAACAGGAGGCUGGUGCUGCCAGGGACUAUAAACCUGGAGAGGAGGCGGCUCAUGCUCCUUCGCUAAAACCCUUGUCACCACUCUGAUGUCAAGGGCAGUUCCUUAUCUUCCCCAAAUCUAUCUCCCCUCUCCAAUGGGAGACGCGU